UACGUAGGGUGCGAGCGUUGUCCGGAAUUACUGGGCGUAAAGAGCUCGUAGGUGGUUUGUCGCGUUGUUCGUGAAAACUCACAGCUCAACUGUGGGCGUGCGGGCGAUACGGGCAGACUGGAGUACUGCAGGGGAGACUGGAAUUCCUGGUGUAGCGGUGGAAUGCGCAGAUAUCAGGAGGAACACCGGUGGCGAAGGCGGGUCUCUGGAACGGUACUGACGCUGAGGCGCGAAAGCGUGGGGAGCGAACAGG
rnacentral:rRNA from 1 species